rnacentral:lncRNA from 1 species
CAGGACUGUUCUGGGCGUGACACACAUUGCCAGAUUGGCCUCCUGAAAUGUUUACACUCCCACGGGCAGCUACCAAAUGUCCUUGCUCUAAGCCCUUGCCAAUGCUGCCAGUCCUAUACCCCUACACCCUCUUACUCUCUAGAUCCCAUCUUCCAAAAAACAACAACCACACACACUGCAAAUACCAUGAGAGCCCUCACUGGAGAUGUGACAGUGGUUGGCAGAGCUGUUUCUCAUGGCAGGGAGAGGACAAGCCCAGGUACAGGCUCAGCCAGAAGAGGAAUCUCCCAGGAGGGCCUCUCCCCAGGCCCAGGCAGGGAAGCACUGCCAUGGAUAGCAUCUGCCAGGACAAGCUGACCUGCACAAGAGACAGUCCACCGUGAAGAGCCGAGCAUGAGUUGGCAGCUGCUGUCAGCUCAAAUUGUCCAGUACGCAAACUUGGUCUUCAGAGGACUGACUUCCUCUUGGAUAGAAGAACCCUCUGAAACCAUGACUGUCAAGAACACACCCAAAUAAAGCAGCUGCCGAAACCACAAAAACAGAAAGACUAGAUUCAUUGUGAAGAUGUUUUCUAACAUUCAAAUGGGCUUUUGUUAGUUUUGUUUUUGAUUUUGGUGGAGGUCAUUUGAGUCUUGUUAUCAAGGUUACAAAGUGCUCUCUGGGAAAAGAUCCGGGCCCAUUUACCAGGCUGCCUUGCCUGGCUUUGCUUCUCGGGUAUGAAAUGAACAUUGAGAAUGCAGACACUGAA